ACACCAAUGAAGGAGAAAUUAUCAUAUCAAUGUUGAAACAUCUUUUGAUAGAAUUAGCAGCCCAUUCUAGAUUUUAGUGAAGUAUAAUUGGUUUAGAGUGUCUGGCACAUACUAUGAUUGGUUAACCGUAACCCAUUUCCAACCUCCUUUUCCCUUGACUGCUUUAAUUAUUGAGGUUAAAUAUGUUCAGUAACUGCUUUCUUGAAGUGAGAGUUUGCCAUGUGACUCAUGCUCUCUGAAAUCUGCUGAGGUUUUCCAAUAAAACUUUUGCUAAUCUGAUAAAAAGAGAUCAGUAGUUGGUGGCAUCCCUCUCUCCCUUCUUUUUGCCUUGAAUGUGACUGUGAUGCCUGGAGCUGGUACAGCCAUUCUGCAGCCAUGAGGCAACAAACAUGAGGGAUAGGCCAACCUAGUCACAAAUGUAUUUCUGACUUUCCUGAGCUGCUACAUCAACACCAGUAGUUGUCAAUCUCUAAAUUUCUUGUUUAAAUUACAAUCAGGUUUUCUAUUACAUUCACCCAAACACACUCCUGACUUAAUCAGAAAGAAGCAACUUAAAACCAAAUACUAAAAUCCCUAACAGUUACCAAAAACCAAUAGCAAAUAUUAUUCUAAGUAAUAAAAUACAGACACUAAUUCAAUUCAAAUCAAGCAAGAGAUACACCAAGAUGCCUUCUUCUGCCAUUCUUAUUCAACAAUUUUCUUGAAGGUUCUAGGGAAUAAAAUAAGAUCACUUCAAAACACACAUGCACACACACACACACACCCCAGACACACCAAAGCAAAAGAAGACAAAACUAGUAAAACCCUACCAUAAUGCCAUAAAUGAAUCUUCUAAAAUUCAACUGUAAAGAAUGUGGAGUUGUAUUUUUGUGAGUUAAUAAAAUGAUAUCAGUUGUGUAGCUAGCUGGGAAUUCUGGAGUUGGGGUGUAUUGUCUAAAUCAAUUCUGGGACUACUGAUAGAACAUGCGUGCUCCAGUUUAAAUAUCAGUUGAUUGGACUCUUCAGGACAUUGGCAGUAAAUCUGGGAAUUUCCCACUUCUUUGGUUCCUGUUUGUUGGGGAGAUUGGUCUAAGAAAAUAAUGGGGCUACAGGAAUUCAUCAUCUACCUCCUCUAUACAUGUUUCCCACCCCUGCUCCCAGAUAAAAAGUUAUCUUGUUCUCAUUUGAACUCAAUUGCUGAUUGUUUUAGAGUGGAAUUUGCAUUGUCGUAGAGGGCAUUUUUUUCAUCAAUAUAAGCAAUGAGAAAAAGAUAAAACCCUUUUUUGCUUACCAUGUGAUGGUUUUCUCAGAAAAUCAAAGAGUCUUUAGUAAAAAUCUACUAGAAUUAAUGCAGAAUUUGCUGAAGUGUUCGGAUACCAGCUAAAUACAGAAAAACAAUGUCUUUCACUAUUUUAUCAAUACCCAAGUAAAGGUUAAAAAUUUCAUUAACUGUAAUUGUAAAAACUAUAACAUACCUAUGAAAAAACUUAACAGAAUGUACAGCACCU
rnacentral:lncRNA from 1 species